rnacentral:lncRNA from 1 species
GACGACCCAAGAAAUGCCUUGGAGGUUGAGAGAGGCAGUGGAAGGAUUGGACCAACAUGGCACACAUCCCGCUGUAAUCCAUUUUGUUAUGAUGUGUCAGGGGAUGGUGAAGAGGUUCAAGCUUGAAUUAGAAGAACUCAUAACUCGAAAGACUGCUGUGUGAUUCUUUUGUUUUUCUUAUAUUCAGUUUAGUAUUUGAGCUGUAUCGAUUUGGGCGGUUAUGCCUUUGUACUCCGUACUUUAAACAUUU